rnacentral:rRNA from 1 species
GGAUGGCGCUGAAGCGGGCAGCCGACACCACGUCGUCUGACCAAAGUGGAUAUCAGAUGAGUAGGAGGACGUGGCGGUCGUAUCGAAGCGUACGUGCGAACGUGCGUGGAACGGCCGCUAGUGCAGAUCUUGGUGGUAGUAGCAAAUAUUCAAACGUGAACCUUGAAGGGCGAAGCGGGGAAGGGUUCCACGCGAACAUUGAUUGAGCGUGGGUAAGUCGUUCCUAAGCCGAGUGGCAAUAGCUAAUUAUCGAGCGAAAGGGAAGUAGGUUGAUAUUCCUACACACGGAUGUGGAUGCGGUGACGCACUACUGAGGCGAUGACGUCGGCGAUGGCGCUAGGCAGAGUUUUCUUUUCUGUUUAACCGAACCUAGCACGCUGUGUGGAAUCCGCUUGUCGGGAGAAACACGCGUGUUUGGGCAGAGCGCUGGGAUUUUUCCAGCGUCUAGCUCGCCAUCGACGGCCCUUGAAAAAUCGUNCUGCUGGCCAAACCAUUUUUUGUGUUUGGUGUGAAAANUUCCACGCCGUAACGUACCGAUAACCGCAUCA